UGGGGAAUAUUGGACAAUGGGCGCAAGCCUGAUCCAGCCAUGCCGCGUGAGUGAUGAAGGCCUUAGGGUUGUAAAGCUCUUUUAGCAGGGAAGAUAAUGACGGUACCUGCAGAAAAAGCCCCGGCUAACUUCGUGCCAGCAGCCGCGGUAAUACGAAGGGGGCUAGCGUUGCUCGGAAUUACUGGGCGUAAAGCGCACGUAGGCGGACUCUUAAGUCGGUGGUGAAAUCCUGGAGCUCAACUCCAGAACUGCCUUCGAUACUGGGAGUCUUGAGUUCGGGAGAGGUGAGUGGAACUGCGAGUGUAGAGGUGAAAUUCGUAGAUAUUCGCAAGAACACCAGUGGCGAAGGCGGCUCACUGGCCCGAUACUGACGCUGAGGUGCGAAAGCGUGGGGAGCAAACA
rnacentral:rRNA from 1 species